rnacentral:rRNA from 1 species
GAUGAACGCUGGCGGCGUGCUUAACACAUGCAAGUCGAACGGAAAGGCCCUGCGCUUGUGGGGUGCACGAGUGGCGAACGGGUGAGAAACACGUGAGUAACAUGCACUUGACUUAGGGAUAACAUCAGGAAACUGGGGAUAAUAUCGGAUAGGAGAUCCUGAAGCAUGGGGGGGGAUGGAAAGAUACGGCGGUUGGGGAUGGACUCGCGGCUUAUCCGCUGGUUGGUGUGGUAGGGGCGUACAAAGGCUGUGAAGGGUAGCCGGCCUGGGAGGGUGACCGGCCACAUGGGGCCUGCGAUACGGCCCAGACGCCUACGGGCGGCAGCAGUGGGGAAUAUUGCACAGUGGGCGGACGCCUGUUGCAGCAGCGCCGCGAUCGGGAUGCCGUCCUUCUGGUUGUAAACCGCUUUCUCCUGUGACGAAGCGGUAGUGACGGUAAUGGGUAAAGAAGCACCGGCUAACUACGUG